GAUAGUGUAUGUGAGUGCGAGUUAGGCUGCCUUGGAGCUUGUCGUGGUGGGGUUAGUCCCCAGAGGGUCUGUGCCCGCUUUUUGUUUUACAUUUUAAACUGUAGGUAGCAUGGUUGUAAUGUAGGUAUGUGUAAGAGCAUUCAGAAGUAAAGGGAGAUAACUGUUAAGCGAAAGGUAAAGUUUAUAUACGGAGUGUCCAUGUGAUGGUACCAGGACCUUCUCCC